GUUCAAGAUCCAUGAUGAGUUUUGAAGAUGUUCAUCAAGCAAACGGAUCAACCAGGCCUUUUUUCCGCUCGUUUGAUCACGAAGACAAUGGAGACGAUGAUCUGGAUGAAUAUUUUCAUCAACCUGAAAAGAAGAGGAGACUUACUGUUGAUCAAGUUCAGUUUCUUGAAAAGAGUUUUGAGCUUGAGAACAAGCUUGAACCUGAAAGGAAAAUCCAGCUUGCAAAGGAUCUUGGCCUUCAGCCGCGUCAGGUUGCUAUAUGGUUUCAAAACCGCCGAGCAAGAUGGAAGACUAAACAGCUGGAAAAGGAUUAUGACGUUUUGC
rnacentral:lncRNA from 1 species